CGCUGAUAAAAAACAGAUGUAGUAACCAGAGGAGGCCACCAGGGGGAGCAGAGUGUGUGAGCUGUGAAGGAGGCGCGUCACUCCCCGCCCUCAGUGAAUACACGCAUGAGCGGAGGGAAGUUUGUGUGUGUGCGUCUUUCACACAAUAUUCCCCUUUUUAGUGUCAGUGGUUAUUAUACGAAGUGAUCCCUCAGAACAGUUUGAUUGGUUGUUUCUGCGGUUGCCAAUCACGGCCACUAGAGGGCAGUCGCAGCGUGGACAUUGGAAAGUUCUGGAGAGAAACGCGUUUCAGACCGUCGUCUCACUUGUGUCAAGUGUUCCUGUUGUUUCGGGCGUUUCGGUGUGAUUUUCCCUCCGUGUGUGCGUUCAGAUCUCAAACCACACACAUAUACACAAGUAUACCUGACACCCAACGUGCAUUUAUUUGUAUCCCAAUAAAUCUUGAAAAGGGACCAUGUGGUGAUGCCGUCUAAUGGAUGUCCCCUGGGGGCCACAGCUUUAUUCAGAACUCCACAUCAGUUAAUGUUUACUAGAACAUUUGGGUGUCCUGAUCCUGAUCAAAUCGUGACCUUAUCAGCCCCAGUGAAGAACUCCACAUGCAGCAGAUUCCUGCCCCUGCAGAGCGAUGCAGCAUCCAGCCUGGAUGGAUAACUGUGCUGUGUCCCUCCCAGCAUGACCACAGUUUGCGUUUGUCCCUCAGGAAGCAGCUUACCCGCCAGAGAAACAGUGACCCUCCUGCAGCAUGGAGGGACCUUCUGGGAGAUACGCCAAGAUGACACCUCUCACACCUUCGCCAGCUGACAAGACUGGGGUGCUGUGCUGGGAGCAGGUGCAAAGCAUCUCCACUUGUCUGAACCUGUUAGCCCCAGUUCCAAAGCAAACCCGCUUGGCCCUGGCGUAAGCCAGCUCCAGAAACCGUACCAGAUGAAUGAACCUGCAGACGUGACUUGUUGCUGCCCCUCCAGAUCCACCACUGCAACCGGAGUCUGACCUCCCUCCUGAACAGGUGUGAGAGCCCACCUGCUGCUGCGCUCCAUAACACAGGAUGACGGUAAAACUGAAGAACUGAUGACAGCUUUGUAUUCCAGUGAAUCAAAGAAGUCAUGCAGUGACAUUUCAUGAUUAAAGUUCAAAAGAAACUUGUACAUAAACAGCAAAAAUAAAAACCCAAAUCAAACUACAGCCAAGUUUAACUCAAACAAUAAAUAAAGUUCUGAUUUUA